rnacentral:rRNA from 1 species
UCGCCCUUUGCCAGCARCCGCGGGUAAUACGUAGGGUGCMAGCGUUAAUCGGAAUUACUGRGCGUAAAGCGUGCGCAGGCGGGUCCGCUAAGACAGAUGUGAAAUCCCCGGGCUUAACCUGGGAACUGCAUUUGUGACUGGCGGGCUAGAGUAUGGCARAGGGGGGUAGAAUUCCACGUGUAGCAGUGAAAUGCGUAGAGAUGUGGAGGAAUACCGAUGGCGAAGGCAGCCCCCUGGGCCAAUGCUGACGCUCAUGCACGAAAGCGUGGGGAGCAAACAGGAUUAGAUACCCUGGUAGUCC